rnacentral:rRNA from 1 species
AGCGAACGCUGGCGGCAGGCCUAACACAUGCAAGUCGAACGAACUCUUCGGAGUUAGUGGCGGACGGGUGAGUAACACGUGGGAGCGUGCCUUUAGGUUCGGAAUAACUCAGGGAAACUUGUGCUAAUACCGAAUGUGCCCUUCGGGGGAAAGAUUUAUCGCCUUUAGAGCGGCCCGCGUCUGAUUAGCUAGUUGGUGAGGUAAAGGCUCACCAAGGCGACGAUCAGUAGCUGGUCUGAGAGGAUGAUCAGCCACAUUGGGACUGAGACACGGCCCAAACUCCUACGGGAGGCAGCAGUGGGGAAUCUUGCGCAAUGGGCGAAAGCCUGACGCAGCCAUGCCGCGUGAAUGAUGAAGGUCUUAGGAUUGUAAAAUUCAUCCACCGGGGACGAUAAUGACGGUACCCGGAGAAGAAGCCCCGGCUAACUUCGUGCCAGCCGCCGCCGUAA